GGUGCCCCUGGAGGCACUACAGGUGUGGCUGCUGUGUCACAUAUGUGUCAGUAAAUGGCAGGGAGGAGAAAGGCUAUGUUCACACUCAAUGUUCUAACCUCUGAACAUCUGAAUGAUUAGUAACCUAACAGA
ensembl:snoRNA